rnacentral:rRNA from 1 species
CCUACGGGAGGCAGCAGUGGGGAAUAUUGGACAAUGGGGGCAACCCUGAUCCAGCCAUGCCGCGUGUGUGAAGAAGGCCCUCGGGUUGUAAAGCACUUUCAGUGAGGAAGAACGCCUGGUGGUUAAUACCCAUCAGGAAAGACAUCACUCACAGAAGAAGCACCGGCUAACUCCGUGCCAGCAGCCGCGGUAAUACGGAGGGUGCGAGCGUUAAUCGGAAUUACUGGGCGUAAAGCGCGCGUAGGUGGCUUGAUAAGCCGGUUGUGAAAGCCCCGGGCUCAACCUGGGAACGGCAUCCGGAACUGUCGAGCUAGAGUGCAGGAGAGGAAAGUAGAAUUCCCGGUGUAGCGGUGAAAUGCGUAGAGAUCGGGAGGAAUACCAGUGGCGAAGGCGGCCUUCUGGACUGACACUGACACUGAGGUGCGAAAGCGUGGGUAGCAAACAGGAUUAGAUACCCCAGUAGUC